rnacentral:rRNA from 1 species
CCUACGNGAGGCAGCAGUGGGGAAUAUUGGACAAUGGGCGAAAGCCUGAUCCAGCGACGCCGCGUGGGUGANUAAGGCCUUCGGGUUGUAAAGCCCUUUAAGCCGGGACGAAGAAAUCGGCGAUAACAUCGCCGGUCUUGACGGUACCGGAAGAAUAAGCACCGGCUAACUCUGUGCCAGCAGCCGCGGUAAU